CUAACAUUCCCCCAGAUACUUUCAUUUGUCACCCUGUCUUUUAAAUUUUGGCUGUAGUAGCAAUGUUUCAGAGUGAAAUCAAGUGAAAGAAAAUUAUUUCAAUUUUAAAUAAAUUUUUUUAAAUCCCAACAGCCCUUUUUAAGGUUGAAUUGAAAGACCUCAAACAGUCUACUUGAUUUUUCAUACUCUGAAACAAUAUACAAGAUGGGAACUAUGCUAUCCUUAUCAAUGAAUCUAUGAGUGUGUAUUUUUAGCUAUUUUGAGAUAGUUGCUUGGGUUUUGUUUUCUUUUUUUUUAUUAUUUUCUUUUUUUAUUUUUUUUUUUUUGUCCAGAGGAGUUACCAAUAUCUGUCAGAAGUUCCAGGAGCGCCAGCGUAAUAAAGCAAUAUCUUUAAGAUUGAAAUAGUUCAGGAUUCCAACUAUGAAAAAAAACUUCCUUCAGAGGCAGUUUUAUACUGUGUUUUCAGUCUUAUCAAAAUACAGUUGAACCUAUCACUUUUUAAGAGCUAUUUGAAUGUGUAAAGCUGAGCACAUAUGUGUAUGUAAUAUCUCUCCCUUGAACAGAAGCUUUACUUUUCUUGAUGUCUCUGGGUCCAUCACAGAAUUUCUGAAACCUUCACUAUGCUGGUAUUCAUCGUGAAUAAUUUUCUCAGAAAAGUAAUUCUUGUCUUCCAACUUCUCUAAUGGUGGGCAUUAUCAGAGCUCAGAGGGGAGAGAAGUUAUUCUGAGGACCUCACGUAUCUCUGCAUCAACAGUGGAAUGCCAGCAUGGAGUAUUCUAAAUGGAUGAGUCACCGCAGCAGACAUAGAAGAUUUUCAUUCUAAGACAUUGAAGCCAUUGUAACAACUUUGGAUUUUAAUACUCUGAAGAAGUCUACUACAUGGAAGAUAUAACAUUAGAAAAGCAGACUGUUAUAAAGAGCACCUGUACCAGACCCAUGGUGACAUUCAGCUUGUUUCAAUCCUUACUGAAGCCACUGGAACGCCAUGCAGGAGCACAGAUGCUUUCUCCACAGAUCUUCCUGAAAUAUGGAGGUACAUAUUAA
rnacentral:lncRNA from 1 species